AGCGCCACAUAAGCACUCGCCUACAUUUUCUAAUAGAAGCAAGGACUUUGGAACGCAGCCAAGAUGCCCGGAAAAGGUAAUAAAUCGGACAAGAAAUCAGCUACCAAGCAACCUCAGAGUCCUAAGGAACAGCCAAAGAAAGGUGAUCAGAAAGGAGAUGAUAACAAACAAAAGCAAGGAGGAGAGCCGAAGGGAGAGAAGCAAUAACUUCCAGGCAUUUGUAAAGAUGGCUUUGGAGACACUGCUGGGAUCCUGCCACCGCAAGCAUGGGGGUCCUCCGGGCAGGCAAGGAUGAGAACAAGCUCUCCUCCCUUCCCCUCUUUUUCCCUGGACCUGCAGACAAGGCUUCUAUCUUGUCUAGUCUAACAUCAGCACUCAUCUGGUCUCCUCACUCUGAGGCAGAACAUGAACUUGAUCUCCAUCCAUCACUGUUGUUCACCUACCCAAUGCCAGUCCCCUCACCUUCCAUCCUGUUUCCUUCCCUCCAACGCUCUGCUCUGGCCAGACUGAAGCUUGGGAAAACACACAACGUCAUGUCAUGCUCAGGAUCUGAGCUUUAAACUCAACCCUUUAACCAAACUGUCUUUCCCUAUCUUAACCCACCUCUCCCCCAAACUCCAUUAUUUGACUAACUGUCUAAUGGUCCAAUCCAUUUGUAUAAAUACAUAAGAUAAUAAAUGACUAUCUCAUAAAGCAAUCCAGCAGUUGCUUGAUAAAUAUGUUAUGUCAUGUGGCCGCAAAAAAAACAAGAAUGGCAAUUUAAAUAUCUUACCAAAUUUUAUUAAAAGCUCCUGUCAGUAACUUAAUAUCUAAAGUAAAAGUUCCACAACAAAGAAACUAAAUGUUAUCAAUAUUUUAGAAGAGUGGAAAGAGGAUGUGUGGUAAGGCUGUACACUUGUGCAUUUUAUCAUUUGUAACAUGAAUAAUGAAACAUGCCUAUAGUCCACACCAUACUGAAUACUUGUCACUUUAUAACCAUGGAGAUACAGGAGAGUCCUACAUUUAAUGUUACAACAAUAAAAUGGGAACACAUCUUGAAAAUGUUCUGAUGUACAAUUACUGAUCAGGCAACCACAUUGAAAGGAUCAAAUGACACAUACUAAACGUAAAAUAACAUACCACAAUAAAUUAUUCUAUUAUUGAAUAUGAUAAAAUAAUAACAGCCUGUCAUUUGCAAAAACAUUCUGGAUUGUAAGUAACAAUGAAAUUGAAUUCUUCUUUAAACCUCUUAUCUGUGCUUUAUCUA